GGACACAGACAGAAGAUAACGAAGUCACAAAUAAUAAAAAAACCUCUUUUGAAGAUUAACGCCAUCCUCAUCCAGCAAAUCAGGAUUUCCAGUCAUCAAGGAUGUAAUAGUUUUCAAAGCUGGACGGACAAAAACUCGUCUGGCCAUGUCUUUGUCUAGCUCUACUUUUAAUUUAUUCAGUAAUGUGACAGAUCUUUGAUGAUAUUUGACAAAUCGACACCCUGAAACAAAGCAGCGCUGUUGGAGAAACGAAAAAAGGAUAAUGAUGUUGGAGUUGAGAUAGCUGUGUGAAAAUGGUUGUACGCUGACCUGAGCAUUGAAU